rnacentral:rRNA from 1 species
UGGCUCAGGACGAACGCUGGCGGCGUGCCUAACACAUGCAAGUCGAGCGAGGAGAUUCCUUCGGGAUGAUCCUAGCGGCGGACGGGUGAGUAACACGUGGGCAACCUGCCUCAUAGAGAGGAAUAGCCUUCCGAAAGGGAGAUUAAUACCUCAUAACAUUGCAGUUUCGCAUGGAACAGCAAUUAAAGGAGUAAUCCGCUAUGAGAUGGGCCCGCGGCGCAUUAGCUAGUUGGUGAGGUAACGGCUCACCAAGGCGACGAUGCGUAGCCGACCUGAGAGGGUGAUCGGCCACAUUGGGACUGAGACACGGCCCAGACUCCUACGGGAGGCAGCAGUAGGGAAUCUUCCGCAAUGGACGAAAGUCUGAACCGGAGCAACGCCGCGUGAGUGAUGACGGCCUUCGGGUUGUAAAGCUCUGUCUUCAGGGACGAUAAUGACGGUACCUGAGGAGGAAGCCACGGCUAACUACGUGCCAGCCGCCGC